UGAGGAAUAUUGGUCAAUGGACGCAAGUCUGAACCAGCCAAGUAGCGUGCAGGAUGACGGCCCUAUGGGUUGUAAACUGCUUUUAUAUGGGGAUAAAGUGGGGAACGUUUUCCCUUUUGCAGGUACCAUAUGAAUAAGGACCGGCUACUUCCGUGCCAGCAGCCGCGGUAAUACGGAAGGUUCGGGCGUUAUCCGGAUUUAUUGGGUUUAAAGGGAGCGUAGGCCGUUUGGUAAGCGUGUUGUGAAAUGUAGGAGCUCAACUUCUAGAUUGCAGCGCGAACUGUCAGACUUGAGUGCGCACAACGUAGGCGGAAUUCAUGGUGUAGCGGUGAAAUGCUUAGAUAUCAUGAAGAACUCCGAUUGCGAAGGCAGCUUACGGGAGCGCAACUGACGCUGAAGCUCGAAGGUGCGGGUAUCGAACAGG
rnacentral:rRNA from 1 species